rnacentral:rRNA from 1 species
GACAGAGGGGGCAAGCGUUGCUCGGAAUCACUGGGCGUAAAGGGCGCGUAGGCGGGAUGGCAAGUCGGUCGUGAAAUCUCUCGGCUCAACCGAGAAACGUCGGCCGAUACUGCUGUUCUUGAGGGAUGCAGAGGAGACUGGAAUUCCCGGUGUAGCGGUGAAAUGUGUAGAGAUCGGGAGGAACACCGGUGGCGAAGGCGGGUCUCUGGGACGGUACUGACGCUGAGACGCGAAAGCGUGGGGAGCGAACAGG